GACGAACGCUGGCGGCGUGCUUAGCACAUGCAAGUCGAACGGAAAGGCCCUGCUUUUGUGGGGUGCUCGAGUGGCGAACGGGUGAGUAACACGUGAGUAACCUGCCCUUGACUUUGGGAUAACUUCAGGAAACUGGGGCUAAUACCGGAUAGGAGCUCCUGCUGCAUGGUGGGGGUUGGAAAGUUUCGGCGGUUGGGGAUGGACUCGCGGCUUAUCAGCUUGUUGGUGGGGUAGUGGCUUAUCAAGGCUUUGACGGGUAGCCGGCCUGAGAGGGUGACCGGCCACAUUGGGACUGAGAUACGGCCCAGACUCCUACGGGAGGCAGCAGUGGGGAAUAUUGCACAAUGGGCGGAAGCCUGAUGCAGCAACGCCGCGUGCGGGAUGACGGCCUUCGGGUUGUAAACCGCUUUCGCCUGUGACGAAGCGUGAGUGACGGUAAUGGGUAAAGAAGCACCGGCUAACUACGUG
rnacentral:rRNA from 1 species